CGCCCGGAGCGCUCUGCACAUGCGCGACGGCGCUUCCCUUCUUCCCCCGCUUCCGCUGGCUUCCGCCGUCCCGGGAGCCGCCGCCGCUGCCGCCGCGGAGGAGUCGGGGAGUUCAAGAUGGCCGCCGCGGGGACGCCGUCGCUGCGGGAGCAGCCUGAGAUGGAAGAUGCGGAUAAUUCUGAAAAGAGUGUAAAUGAAGAAAAUGGAGAUGUGUCCGAAGAGCAGUCUCAGAAUAAGCACAGCCGCCACAAGAAGAAGAAGCGCAAACACAGGAGUAAGCGGAAGAAACGCAAGCGCUGCUCUGACGAGGACAGGGACAAGGACAAGGAGAGGAGGCACCGGCACCGGCAUAAGCACAAGAGACACAAGAGGAAGGAGGCGCUGGGCGCUUCUGACAGGGAGGGCGCGUCUCCUGCCAAAAGAACCAAGCUGGAUGAUCUGGCUCUGCUGGAAGACUUGGAAAAGCAGCGAGCCUUGAUUAAAGCCGAACUUGAUAAUGAGCUAAUGGAGGGGAAGGUCCAGUCCGGGAUGGGGCUCAUUCUGCAGGGCUAUGAGUCUGGCUCGGAAGAGGAAGGUGAGAUCCAUGAAAAGGCAAGAAACGGCAAUAGGUCUAGUACUAGAUCUUCGAGUGCGAAGGGAAAACUUGAACUUGUGGACAAUAAAAAUAGUACAAAAAAACGAAGUAAAAGCAGGUCCAAAGAACGGACUAGACAUAGGUCAGAUAAAAAGAAAAGCAAGGGAGGUAUUGAAAUAAUUAAAGACAAAACAACAAGAAGCAAGUCAAAAGAGAGAAAAAAGUCCAAAAGUCCAUCCAAGAGAAGUAAGUCUCAAGACCAAGCAAGAUCAAAGUCUCCCAUGCUUAGACGGCGGUCUCAAGAGAGAGUAGGGAAGACCAGGUCUCCUGAUGAGAAGGUUAAAAUUGAAGACAAAAAUAAGACAAAAGAUAGGAAAAAGUCCCCAAUUAUAAAUGAAAGUAGAAGUCGCGAUCGAGGUAAAAAAUCCAGAUCCCCAGUUGACCUUAGAGAUAAAUCCAAAGACAGAAGGUCAAGGUCCAAAGAGAGAAAAUCAAAACGGUCUGACAUUGACAGAGAAAAGAAGCCAAUGAAAUCACCCUCCAAAGAUGCUUCCUCUGGGAAAGAGAACCGCUCACCCAGCAGAAGGCCUGGCCGCAGCCCCAAGAGGAGAAGCCUGUCUCCUCGGCAGCGCGACAAAGCCAGGCGAAGCCGGUCUCCACUUGUAAACGAGAGGAGGUCUAAGCAGAGCAAGUCACCUUCUCGGACACUGUCUCCAAGCAGAAGAGCCAAGAGCCGAUCCUUAGACAGGAAACGAAGGGAACCAGAGAGGAGACGGCUUUCUUCUCCAAGAACACGACCUCGAGAUGAUAUCCUUAGUAGACGUGAACGGUCAAAAGAUGCCAGCCCCAUCAAUAGGUGGUCUCCAGCCCGAAGAAGAAGUAGGUCUCCCAUUAGAAGGAGAUCCCGGUCCCCACUGAGACGCAGCAGGUCUCCACGAAGACGGAGCAGGUCUCCUCGGAGGAGAGACCGAGGCCGGAGGAGCAGAUCCCGCUUGAGAAGAAGAUCUCGAUCCCGAGGUGGCCGCAGACGGAGGAGCAGAAGCGCCGUGAAGGAGGACAGGUUUAAGGGAAGCCUGUCUGAGGGGAUGAGAGCUGAGCAGGAGUCGUCAUCAGAUGACAACCUGGAAGACUUCGAUGUAGAGGAAGAAGACGAAGAAGCUGUCAUAGAACAGAGAAGAAUUCAGAGGCAGGCGAUUGUCCAGAAAUAUAAAUAUCUUGCUGAGGACAGCAAUAUGUCUGUGCCCUCUGAGCCCAGCAGUCCCCAGAGCAGUACUCGGACACGCUCGCCCUCUCCUGAGGACAUCCUGGAGCGGGUGGCAGCUGACGUGAAGGAGUACGAGCGGGAGAACGUGGACACGUUUGAGGCUGCUGUCAAGGCCAAGCAUAACCUGAUGGCCGUGGAGCAGAACAACGGUUCAUCGCAGAAGAAGCUUUUGGCACCUGACAUGUUUACAGAAUCUGAUGACAUGUUUGCUGCAUAUUUUGAUAGUGCUCGUCUUCGGGCUGCUGGCUUUGGGAAAGACUUCAAGGAGAAUCCCAACCUCAGAGACAACUGGACUGACGCAGAAGGCUAUUACCGCGUAAACAUCGGUGAAGUCCUAGAUAAGCGCUACAAUGUGUAUGGCUACACUGGGCAGGGCGUGUUCAGCAAUGUUGUCCGAGCCAGAGAUAACGCCAGAGCCAACCAAGAGGUGGCUGUGAAGAUCAUCAGAAACAACGAGCUCAUGCAAAAGACUGGUUUAAAAGAGCUAGAGUUCUUGAAAAAACUUAACGACGCUGAUCCCGAUGACAAAUUUCACUGUCUUCGACUCUUCAGACACUUUUAUCAUAAGCAGCACCUGUGUCUUGUAUUUGAGCCUCUCAGCAUGAACUUACGAGAAGUGCUAAAGAAGUAUGGCAAGGAUGUGGGCCUGCAUAUCAAAGCGGUGAGGUCCUACAGCCAGCAGCUGUUCCUGGCCCUGAAGCUCCUUAAACGGUGCAACAUCCUGCACGCAGACAUCAAGCCAGACAACAUUCUGGUUAAUGAAUCAAAAACAAUUUUAAAGCUUUGCGAUUUUGGGUCGGCCUCACAUGUUGCGGAUAAUGACAUAACACCUUAUCUUGUCAGUAGAUUUUACCGAGCUCCUGAGAUCAUUAUAGGUAAAAGCUACGACUACGGCAUAGACAUGUGGUCCGUAGGUUGCACCCUGUAUGAACUCUACACCGGAAAGAUCUUAUUUCCUGGUAAAACUAAUAACCAUAUGUUGAAGCUUGCCAUGGAUCUCAAAGGAAAGAUGCCAAAUAAGAUGAUCCGGAAAGGCGUGUUCAAAGACCAGCACUUUGAUCAGAAUCUCAACUUCAUGUACAUAGAAGUUGAUAAAGUAACAGAGAGGGAGAAAGUUACUGUCAUGAGCACCAUUAAUCCAACUAAGGACCUGUUGGCUGACUUGAUUGGGUGCCAGCGACUUCCUGAAGACCAGCGUAAAAAAGUACACCAGCUAAAGGACUUGUUGGACCAGAUUCUAAUGUUGGACCCAGCUAAACGAAUUAGCAUCAACCAGGCCCUACAGCAUGCAUUCAUCCAGGAAAAAAUUUAAACGAGAUGAAGAAACUCCAAGGGUUUGAGUAAUUCAAUACAAAGACUGAAGAAAUUUCACAGCAGUUUAUUAUUAAUGUAUAUAAACUUAUAAAUAUUUCUCCAGCAAAUUUGAGGAAGCAUGAUCUAUUUGAAUUAAUGCCAAGGGUGAUAUUUCUUUUAGAAAUGGUAGUUCAUGUGUUUGUGUCUUAUGUGAAGUUUCACUGUAGAACUGUUCUAACUGCCCACACUGCACAGAACUCUAGUGCUAAUGUGGAUGGCUGCAGUUCCCAUCAGAGACAGAGCCUCUGUGAUGAGCAGUGGUGCUGGGUGGUUGAUUGGUUUUAGCAGACUUGGCUUCAGUUUGGUCUUCAGAUGCAAUGGCCAGCAUAAAUGCUGUUUAUAUUCACGUUUUCCUAGGUGUGUGUGUGCAGGCCACAGCAGCAUGCCCUUGGUGUAGUCAGUGCCGAAGGGGGUCUGUUCCUUCUUGAGCCUGCCUGCAGGGAUGUCUCCUCUUUUAAAGCAGGUUGUGUACAACUUUCAGUACACUGAAGGUAAGCGAAACCAUCAACGUCACCAGUGCUUUAAGACGUUAUUGUAUUGGAGUAAUUGACAAGUGAGGGAUGUUAGCUUUGUGGCAGAAUUCCCUGCAUGUGUGAUAACUGAUCUUAUUUUAUUUUUUGGCAUCGCGACUGUGGCAUAGUUAAAGUUUCUGUUCUUUUCAUUGCAUUUAAAAAUUUGAAGAGUAUGCGCUUGAUGGAUAGAGCGCCUUCAGUGUACUGUUUCUUACUAACUUUACUUUUUUAAAUCAACUUGCUAUAGACUUUAUAUACAUUUUGUUAAAUAUAGUUCCUAGUGACAUAGAGACAAUGCAUAGUUUUCAUUUACUAAUUACAAAUGUUGAGGCCUAAUUCUGAAAGUCCUCAUAUUAAAAAAAAAAAAGGGUUAGAAAACAUAAUGAAAUUUUUAACUAUUUGUAUGUCAUCUUAAAAUGUGCUGCUUUGUGGGGAGAGUGCUGUCAUCUGCUCACUGUCGUCUUUACCUGUGACCGUGUUGUUUUUCACGCAGGCACACCCUCCACUCUUGUCUUGAGAAAGCAGCUGCUUUCUAACAGCGAGAAAAAGGAGAGCGGGCACAGGCCAUCCGACGCCUUCUCCCAGGGUCUGAUUUGCUGAGACACCAGCUUCACCUUCUUAACAAGGUGCAGCUCAGUGGAAGAUGAUGACGCCAGAAGACAUGAGCUAAGGGUAAGGGCUGUUCUUCUGAAGAGCCUUCCAGUUAGCGAUCAAGACGCGGAGGCUGCUGUCUGGCGUGCUCCAUGUGUAUCCUAAUUGUCUGGUGUCACUUGAAUUGUAACUUGUAUUUUAGCAGCACGGGUUCCCAACAACUUCCUCAGAAACUUAAUAAAGUGUCUCUUGGAA